rnacentral:rRNA from 1 species
GGUAACACUGAAUGGAGGACCGAACCGACUUACGUUGAAAAGUGAGCGGAUGAACUGAGGGUAGCGGAGAAAUUCCAAUCGAACCUGGAGAUAGCUGGUUCUCUCCGAAAUAGCUUUAGGGCUAGCCUCAAGUGAUGAUUAUUGGAGGUAGAGCACUGUUUGGACGAGGGGCCCCUCUCGGGUUACCGAAUUCAGACAAACUCCGAAUGCCAAUUAAUUUAACUUGGGAGUCAGAACAUGGGUGAUAAGGUCCGUGUUCGAAAGGGAAACAGCCCAGACCACCAGCUAAGGUCCCAAAAUAUAUGUUAAGUGGAAAAGGAUGUGGCGUUGCCCAGACAACUAGGAUGUUGGCUUAGAAGCAGCCAUCAUUUAAAGAGUGCGUAAUAGCUCACUAGUCGAGUGACACUGCGCCGAAAAUGUACCGGGGCUAAACAUAUUACCGAAGCUGUGGAUUGUCCUUUGGACAAUGGUAGGAGAGCGUUCUAAGGGCGUUGAAGCAUGAUCGUAAGGACAUGUGGAGCGCUUAGAAGUGAGAAUGCCGGUGUGAGUAGCGAAAGACGGGUGAGAAUCCCGUCCACCGAUUGACUAAGGUUUCCAGAGGAAGGCUCGUCCGCUCUGGGUUAGUCGGGUCCUAAGCUGAGGCCGACAGGCGUAGGCGAUGGAUAACAGGUUGAUAUUCCUGUACCACCUAUAAUCGUUUUAAUCGAUGGGGGGACGCAGUAGGAUAGGCGAAGCGUGCGAUUGGAUUGCACGUCUAAGCAGUAAGGCUGAGUAUUAGGCAAAUCCGGUACUCGUUAAGGCUGAGCUGUGAUGGGGAGAAGACAUUGAGUCUUCGAGUCGUUGAUUUCACACUGCCGAGAAAAGCCUCUAGAUAGAAAAUAGGUGCCCGUACCGCAAACCGACACAGGUAGUCAAGAUGAGAAUUCUAAGGUGAGCGAGCGAACUCUCGUUAAGGAACUCGGCAAAAUGACCCCGUAACUUCGGGAGAAGGGGUGCUCUUUAGGGUUAACGCCCAGAAGAGCCGCAGUGAAUAGGCCCAAGCGACUGUUUAUCAAAAACACAGGUCUCUGCUAAACCGUAAGGUGAUGUAUAGGGGCUGACGCCUGCCCGGUGCUGGAAGGUUAAGAGGAGUGGUUAGCUUCUGCGAAGCUACGAAUCGAAGCCCCAGUAAACGGCGGCCGUAACUAUAACGGUCCUAAGGUAGCGAAAUUCCUUGUCGGGUAAGUUCCGACCCGCACGAAAGGCGUAACGAUUUGGGCACUGUCUCAACGAGAGACUCGGUGAAAUCAUAGUACCUGUGAAGAUGCAGGUUACCCGCGACAGGACGGAAAGACCCCGUGGAGCUUUACUGUAGCCUGAUAUUGAAAUUCGGCACAGCUUGUACAGGAUAGGUAGGAGCCUUUGAAACGUGAGCGCUAGCUUACGUGGAGGCGCUGGUGGGAUACUACCCUAGCUGUGUUGGCUUUCUAACCCGCACCACUUAUCGUGGUGGGAGACAGUGUCAGGCGGGCAGUUUGACUGGGGCGGUCGCCUCCUAAAAGGUAACGGAGGCGCUCAAAGGUUCCCUCAGAAUGGUUGGAAAUCAUUCAUAGAGUGUAAAGGCAUAAGGGAGCUUGACUGCGAGACCUACAAGUCGAGCAGGGUCGAAAGACGGACUUAGUGAUCCGGUGGUUCCGCAUGGAAGGGCCAUCGCUCAACGGAUAAAAGCUACCCCGGGGAUAACAGGCUUAUCUCCCCCAAGAGUUCACAUCGACGGGGAGGUUUGGCACCUCGAUGUCGGCUCAUCGCAUCCUGGGGCUGUAGUCGGUCCCAAGGGUUGGGCUGUUCGCCCAUUAAAGCGGUACGCGAGCUGGGUUCAGAACGUCGUGAGACAGUUCGGUCCCUAUCCGUCGUGGGCGUAGGAAAUUUGAGAGGAGCUGUCCUUAGUACGAGAGGACCGGGAUGGACAUACCUCUGGUGUACCAGUUGUCGUGCCAACGGCAUAGCUGGGUAGCUAUGUGUGGACGGGAUAAGUGCUGAAAGCAUCUAAGCAUGAAGCCCCCCUCAAGAUGAGAUUUCCCAACUUCGGUUAUAAGAUCCCUCAAAGAUGAUGAGGUUAAUAGGUUCGAGGUGGAAGCAUGGUGACAUGUGGAGCUGACGAAUACUAAUCGAUCGAAGACUUAAUCAA